AGCCAGUAAUAUAUUUAUUCAAUUGUUAAUUGUUAUUGCGUCAAUUGUAUUAUUAUUAUAUAAAAGAACUGCAGUGUUGAGUAAUAUUUUCAUUUUACUAUCAUCAUUGGUCGGGUUAGUAGUUAAUCGUACAAAAUAAAAUGUCAAUAUUUUUUAUAACAAUAAUGUUAACAUUAUUUUUAUGUUGUGCGAGUGGGCCAACCAAUGAUGAUAGAUUAUGGACUGAAUUAAAGGAUCAAUUUUAGAUAUCCAUUAGACAAUCCGUUUUAGGUAAAUUAGUAUUAAAUACUAAUUUACCUAAAACGGAUUGAUCCUUUAAUUCAGUCCAUAAUUUAUCAUCAUUGGUUGGCCCACUCGCACAACAUAAAAAUAAUGUUAACAUUAUUGUUAUAAAAAAUAUUGACAUUUUAUUUUGUACGAAUAACCACUAACCCGACCAAUGAUGAUAGUAAAAUGAAAAUAUUACUCAACACUGCAGUUCUUUUAUAUAAUAAUAAUACAAUUGACGCAAUAACAAUUAACAAUUGAAUUAUUUAUUACUGGCUAACAUACAAUAUAUUGAAUCGAUACAUUAAGUGAUGCAGGAUUCGACGGUACAAAAAAUGAUUAUCGUAGGACAUAUCAAGGCAAUAAUCCUGAUGCACUUGAUUACAUUGUAUUUUUAAAUGCAACGAAUUUUAGUUCGAGUGAUUUCUGGAAGUUAUAUGUAUGCCCAAAAUACUAGACUGUAUCCUGGAAAAUAUGCACAUUGGAGAAAAGUCCCGAGCGAUCAGGAUGACUAGCGUAGAAAUAAUUAUUUGUUUGAUGCUUUAUGAUUUAAAAUCCAAAGAGUAAUGUUUAUAUUAAAAUUACAUAAAAAUAUAAUCAUGCCAUUGUUCUAAAAUGAUUUUGCUUUAAUAGUCUUGAAAAUUGUAUAACUUUAAUUUAUUAAUAUUAACCAACUGCAGGUAACUAACUAUUUUGAAAUGUAUACAAUUUAAGUCAAGUUAAUUAAUUAAAUACUCAAAGUGAGAAGAAUAUUAAAUUUAGAAACAUUAAAUGUAAUUUAAUACAUAUACAUAGUAACUCUUAUAAUGCUUUACUCUGUACGCAGCUAAUCUGAUAGUUGAAACCUUUAAAACUACUUUUAAAGUUUUGCUCAUACAAUAAAGAGCCAGUUAGAGGAAA